AUGCCCACGGCCGGUCUCGCCGUGCCGCGCACGAUGCCGCCGCACACGUUCAGCGGGAAGUUGACCACCUCCAGCGCCGCCAUCACCUUCAUCGCCUUCCCCACGCCGUCCCGCACCUCCGCGCCGCGCGUGUAGAGGCGAGGCCACUGCCGCCGCGACGCCAGCAUCAGCAGCCCGCCCAAGGCACCGGCGAGCACGCCACCGAGGAUCGAGACGGCGCCGGCCCUGCGCGCCCCCACGGCGUCGCCCGCGCCCAGUGAGUUGGACACGCGCACGGACGCGCUCACGGAGAGGGAGAGCAUGCCGGCGAAGAGGAGGUAG
rnacentral:rRNA from 1 species